GACGAACGCUGGCGGCGUGCCUAAUACAUGCAAGUCGAACGCUGAGGAGAGGAGCUUGCUCUUCUUGGAUGAGUUGCGAACGGGUGAGUAACGCGUAGGUAACCUGCCUUGUAGCGGGGGAUAACUAUUGGAAACGAUAGCUAAUACCGCAUAACAAUGGAUGACACAUGUCAUUUAUUUGAAAGGGGCAAUUGCUCCACUACAAGAUGGACCUGCGUUGUAUUAGCUAGUAGGUGAGGUAAUGGCUCACCUAGGCGACGAUACAUAGCCGACCUGAGAGGGUGAUCGGCCACACUGGGACUGAGACACGGCCCAGACUCCUACGGGAGGCAGCAGUAGGGAAUCUUCGGCAAUGGGGGCAACCCUGACCGAGCAACGCCGCGUGAGUGAAGAAGGUUUUCGGAUCGUAAAGCUCUGUUGUAAGUCAAGAACGGGUGUGGGAGUGGAAAGUUCACACUGUGACGGUAGCUUACCAGAAAGGGACGGCUAACUACGUG
rnacentral:rRNA from 1 species